GGGCCCGCACAAGCAGUGGAGUAUGUGGUUUAAUUCGAAGCAACGCGAAGAACCUUACCAGGUCUUGACAUCCAACUAAUCCUGUAGAGAUACGGGAGUGCCCUUCGGGGAAAGUUGAGACAGGUGGUGCAUGGUUGUCGUCAGCUCGUGUCGUGAGAUGUUGGGUUAAGUCCCGCAACGAGCGCAACCCUUGUGAUUAGUUGCUACGCAAGAGCACUCUAAUCAGACUGCCGUUGACAAAACGGAGGAAGGUGGGGACGACGUCAAAUCAUCAUGCCCCUUAUGAUCUGGGCUACACACGUACUACAAUGGCCAUCAACAGAGGGAAGCAAAACCGCGAGGCAGAGCAAACCCCUAAAAAUGGUCUCAGUUCGGAUCGCAGGCUGAAACCCGCCUGCGUGAAGCUGGAAUUGCUAGUAAUCGCGGAUCAUCAUGCCGCGGUGAAUACGUUCCCGGGCCUUGUACACACCGCCCGUCACACCAUGGGAGCCGGUAAUACCCGAAGUCGGUAGUCUAACCGCAAGGAGGACGCCGCCGAAGGUAGGAUUGGCGACUGGGGUGAAGUCGUAACAAGGUAGCCGUAUCGGAAGGUGCGGCU
rnacentral:rRNA from 1 species